rnacentral:rRNA from 1 species
CUUGCCCGCUGGCGGCAGGCCUAACACAUGCAAGUCGAGCGGAGCGGCGGACGGGUGAGUAAUGCCUAGGAAUCUGCCUGGGAGUGGGGGAUAACGUCCGGAAACGGGAGCUAAUACCGCAUACUAUCAGAUGAGCCUAGGUCGGAUUAGCUAGUGGGUGGGGUAAAGGCCUACCAAGGCGACGAUCCGUAACUGGUCUGAGAGGAUGAGCAGUCACAGUGGAACUGAGACACGGUCCAGACUCCUACGGGAGGCAGCAGUGGGGAAUAUUGGACAAUGGGCGAAAGCCUGAUCCAGCCAUGCCGCGUGUGUGAAGAAGGUCUUCGGAUUGUAAAGCACUUUAAGUUGGGAGGCGUUACCAACAGAAUAAGCACCGGCUAACUUCGUGCCAGCCGCCGCGGUAAUAC